rnacentral:rRNA from 1 species
GACGAACGCUGGCGGCGUGCCUAAUACAUGCAAGUAGAACGCUGAAGGAGGAGCUUGCUUCUCUGGAUGAGUUGCGAACGGGUGAGUAACGCGUAGGUAACCUGCCUGGUAGCGGGGGAUAACUAUUGGAAACGAUAGCUAAUACCGCAUAAGAGUAGAUGUUGCAUGACAUUUGCUUAAAAGGUGCAAUUGCAUCACUACCAGUUGGACCUGCGUUGUAUUAGCUAGUUGGUGGGGUAACGGCUCACCUAGGCGACGAUACAUAGCCGACCGGAGAGGGGGGUCGGCCAGACUGAGACGGAGACACGGCCCAGAGUCCUAGGGGAGGCAGCAGGAGGGAAUCUUCGGCAAUGGACGGAAGUCUGACCGAGAAACGCCGCGGGAGUGAGGAAGGUUUUCGGAUCGUAAAGCUCGGUUGUAAGAGAAGAACGAGUGUGAGAGUGGAAAGUUCACACUGUGACGGUAUCUUACCAGAAAGGGACGGCUAACUACGUG